AUUGAACGCUGGCGGCAUGCUUUACACAUGCAAGUCGGACGAGUGGGGAACGGGUGAGUAACGCAUCGGCACGUACCGAGUAAUGGGUGAUACCUGUCCGAAAGGACAGCUAAUACCGCCUAGACUGCGAGCGGCCGAUGUCUGAUUAGCUGGGUGGCGGGGUAAAGGCCCACCAAGGCGACGAUCAGUAGCGGGUCUGAGAGGAUGAACCGCCACACUGGGACUGAGACACGGCCCAGACUCCUACGGGAGGCAGCAGUGGGGAAUUUUGGACAAUGGGCGCAAGCCUGAUCCAGCCAUGCCGCGUGUCUGAAGAAGGCCUUCGGGUUGUAAAGGACUUUUGUCAGGGAAGCGGUACCUGAAGAAUAAGCACCGGCUAACUACGUGCCAGCAGCCGCGGUAAUUC
rnacentral:rRNA from 1 species